UACGAAGGGGGCUAGCGUUGCUCGGAAUCACUGGGCGUAAAGGGUGCGUAGGCGGGUCUUUAAGUCAGGGGUGAAAUCCUGGAGCUCAACUCCAGAACUGCCUUUGAUACUGGCGAUCUCGAAGUCCGGGAGAGGUGAGUGGAACUGCGAGUGUAGAGGUGAAAAUUCGUAGAUAUUCGCAAGAACACCAGUGGCGAAAGCGGACU
rnacentral:rRNA from 1 species